UGUGUGUGUGUGUGUGUGCGUCCUGUGCUAGUUGCCAGGCAUGAUAACUGUAACAGGAAUGAAGAACUGGGAACCCAUUUUGACUAAACCAUAAGCCCAGUCAUCCUGGGACCACAUUCCUUCAUGAGUGCUACUUGGUUGGUGGCGUUGGUGGUUAGAUUAAUGUCUCCCUGAGGUGUGUGUGUGUGUGUGUGUGUGUGUGUGUGUGUGUGUGUGUGUGUGUGUGUGUGUGUGCAAACCCUCGUUAAAAAAAAUAAACCUGGUGUAGCAAUAGAUAAAUAAAAGUUUUGACAGCUACGGUAAUAAUGGCAACUUUCCAUCCUCACCCUGUGUUCCUCCCCAGGCAUACCCUUGGCCUCCAUGUCCAUCCAGCAGGAGGAGGAAGAUGUUCUGGACACCUGGUUCUCCUCUUGCCUGUUUCCUUUUGCCUCGCUGGGCUGGCCAGGUCUGGGGAGGAGAGAGACCAUGCCUGACCUUGCUCGCUUCUACCCAACGACCUUGGUGGAGACGAGUCACGACAUCCUCUUCUUCUGGGUGAUUCAGAUGGUCAUGCUGGGACUCAACCUGACGGGGAGGCUUCCCUUUGAGAUCGAGCCGUGGUGGUGGUGACUGGCAGGCUAGCACAGAGACUGGACCGUGGAUGCCAGCGCUGUGUGGUGGUGCGGGUCACAGUGCCACAGCCAGGCCAGGUCACCCUACACGACCUGACCUUGCCUCAUGGGUUGUACCAGGUCAGGGUUGUCAAAAUGGUUGAGACAAGACAGCUGGAUGAGGUCACUGAUGGAGGAAGAAGAGGAGGAGGAGGAGGGGAAGAAGAAGAAGGAAGAGGAGGAGGAGGAGGAGGAGGAGGAGGAGGAAGGAUAAUCGUCAAAAAGCAUCAGUUUUUUGUACCCACAGAGAGGCGGAGAGAGAGGAUCCUGGUGAGAAACAGAAGGCACAACAAGAUCACCACGUCUCAGCCCAGCAGGCAGUGGCUUCAGCUGUCUAACACUGACCUCAUCCUACGGAAAUACAGCGCACAGGAGAGACGACAAGAAAAUUCGACCUACGGAAGAAUUACUGGCGACGGGAGGGGAGGAAGAGGCCCCUGUGUCUGCUGCAAUUGCUUUAGUUUCUUUCUAGAUUACAACAACAUGACGGCUGUGCUAACUUUCAACUACAGCCUCAAUGAAUCCUGCCAGGCUGUAUGCUCUAGAACUGUGUAACUUUGAAGAAGUUACAGGUCCCCGGCACGCCUGCCUGGUUCAUGGCCGCAUCACACAAGACCAAGGUUGUAGCCAAGAACAUCUCCAGAAUUGCUCUCAUCUCAGAGGAGGCGACCAAAUACACCGCACAACAAACAACUGUACGAGCUCCGCAAGACAAGCCUGGCUCGGGUGAUCUGCGACAACAGUGACAAGCUACAGUACGUCCAGCCCAAAGUAAUGCUGGAGGCCGACUCUUUCCUUGGCUUGGCAGAGGAGAGAACAGAUCAACCAAGCAACGUCCUUCACUGACGGGUCGGUGAUCUACGGGUCCAGCAAGGAGGAGAGCGACGAGCUGCGUGCCUUCUCUGGCGGCCUCCUCAAGGUGCAGCGCUGCCCGGCAAACACCCAGAUUCUUACGGCCGACACCAACCAAAUUGACUGCAAGACCUCAGGAAGAUUCAAGUAUGUGUUUGUGUGAUAGAUGAGUGCAUUAGUUAGUGAAAGGAUUAUUCAGAGCCUUACACUGAUGUAUUUGAGGUGAACAUGACAACCAGAUUGACUGCAAGACCUCAGGAAGCUUCAGUAAACUUCUAACAUUACUCAUUGGCUUGUCUAAUUAACUUUGGUCAAUAUCUACUUCCAGACCAAGCAUUAACAAACCAUCAUCUCUCACAGGUGUUUCAAAUCGGUCUGGCCGCAAUGCACCAGCCGUUCGUCAGGGAGCACAACCGCAUUGCCGUCUUGCUUUCGGACCUCAAUGCCCACUGGACUGACGAGCAAGUGUUCCAAGCGGUGCGCAGGAUUGUGGGAGCAACUCUGCAGCACAUCACCUACACUGAGUUCCUCCCCUCUAUUCUUGGCCAGGUAUUCUAAUAUAAUAGUUAAAACCAUCAACAGGAUCAGGAAGAGGGAGAUGAAGUGAGGAGAGAGGAGAGGAGGCAGGAGAUAGUGGUCAAGAGCCUCAGGUGUGGGCCGGACACUCAUCCUAACCUCCUCCUUGCCUCCUCCUCACAUCCAUCCCAAUAUCACUGUUCUCUUUCUUCAUAUCUCUUCAUUUCUUCCCUGCAGUCUCCUUUCUAAAACUUUAUUCAUUCAAGAAAAGUUAUAUUAAAUAGGUCUUUGUCUGGAUUGUGUAUGUACACACACACACACACACACACACACACACACACACACACACACACACACACACACACACACACACACUAGAUAGAAACUGUUUGGUAUUGUAUGCACCCUCUUAUCAUCUUUUCUCUCUUCCCCACACAGGGCAUUAUUGAGAAGUAUGGCCUGGCACUGCAAUCAUCAGGGUUCUUUGCUGGGUAUGACAUCAACAUCAACGCAGGCAUUGCCAAUUCUGUGUCGUCGCAGGCCCUCAAAUUUGUGGCCUCUCUCAUGCCAAAUACUGUGGCUUAUUUUGAUGUAAGUUUUGCCAGUACAGUGUUCUUUGCAAGUGUUCUGCUUUAAAUCCUGACAUGCUUACUGCACCAACCUUUCUUGGCCUUUCUUUGUUGCCAGGAGGAGAAGGUGAAAGAGCGUCCCAUCACAGACACCUUCUAUGCUCCCUUCGACCUUUACAAGCCCAACAAGUUUGACCAGGUGCUGAAGGGCCUCAUCAGCUCCCACGCCCAGAAUGAGGACACCGCCAUCUCAGACUCCAUGACCAAUAAGAUGUUUGAGGAUGAGAAGAUUGGUAUGUACUUUGUGUGUGUGUGUGUGUGUGUGUGUGUGUGUGUGUGUGUGUGUGUGUGUGUGUGUGUGUG